GUUUGAUCUUUUUUUUUUUAAUUUUUAAAAAGUAAAUAAAUUUUGUGGUGAUGACUUAAUUUACCAUUGUAAAUUAAUAAUUACCAUCAAUGCUCUCAUUUAGUCAAAGUUUCAACAUUAACAAAUAAUAUUUUUUCAUAUUGGUGAAUGUUAUACAGCUCUAUUCUGUUCAACUGUACUCUAUUCAACUGUAUUCUAUUCAAUGUACUAUUCAACUGCAAACUCUCCAAGCAGCAUUUCAAGAUUCAGGAAGGGAGCUUUGAGGAGGGAGUUAACUGUACUGAACAUACAAUCAUUUCAGAGAUAAGAAAAUUUGCUGGAGCUCUACCUGAAUCUUUUCAUUAUGCAACCUGAUUGCUAAACUCUGUGAGAUUAUCAUCUAAUUACUUCCAAACCAGACCUUGUUUUAGUUUUAAAAGUUGGUUUUGAUAGAUCAACAAGCCAAAGUAUUGGAAAUACAAAAAAAUAUAUAUUUGUUUUUCAACAAAUAUAUAUCUUAAAAUUUAGACUUUUUUUUCACAAUAACUUAUUUUUUUACAACAACAACAAACAUUAGUUUUUAAUAUGGUUAAAGAUGGAAAAUUUUGAACCAAAAAUAUUGUCCUUGCAAGGAAUAUAGCUUCAUUACUUUUUUAUUAAGAAAAGUGCUGCGGAAAGUCACUGUAUACUUGUGGUAGUUUAUUGCAAGCAAGCUUUUUCCAAAACUACUCUCAUUGAUUGGUUUAAACACUAUAAAAUAUGUGAUUAGUGUUAAAGACAAAAAAUAUUCUAGACUAAAAAAGUUUGGAGAUGAGGAAAUGGAAGCAUUAAUUAAUAAAUACUUUGUCAAAUGCAAGACAGAAUUGAAAGACUGUUUUCAUGUUGUAAAUGCUGCUUGAAUGAAAUAAAAAAAUUUGUUCUUACAUCAGGUUAUUACAUGCAAUGAAAAUUGAAUUCAUUACUGUAAUCCAAACCAAAAAACCUUACGCUUGCUGCACCACACCUGGACUAUUGCAACUAAAACAAGAUAUGUUUGAAAGGAUCAAAAGCGUGUAUUGCAUUAUGAACUAUUGAAAUCCCCAGUGAUCGUAGGUAAAUAUAAUCACAUGGGACCUUUAUCAAAUACAAUUGUUCUGUGUAAAGAUAAAUUUUUUUAACAUGCAUGGUUCUUCUUAAACUUUCAAUGAUGGUUUCUCUAAAAAUUUUAAAUGAUAAACUUUCAGUUUAAGAAACAAAAGAGAUCCUGUGGUUGAACACAAAACUGUCAUCAACACUAUAAAGAUUCUAGUUUGUUGAAGAGAUCACGAAGGAAGCAGAGUUUAUUAAAGAUGCUGGUAUACCUCAAACAAAGAACAAUAAUAUCUUUGUAAAUCAAAAAAUAAGCUUGCCUUGAUACAUAAGGUGUAAAAAAAGAUAAGUAAAAGUAAAAUGAUGGUAAGGUAUGUAUAAUUCUAUAAUGGUAAGUUGUGUAUAGUAACCAGACUGAUUUAUUUCAAAACAUGGCCCAUUUGUGGGUGCAUGUCAUUAAUGAGCAGUUGUAAAAGUGAAAAGCAUGAAUUUUAAUUAAUCCAAUUUUGAUCAUGGACGUUUUAUCCUCCAUAUUUGGAUCUGUUUCAUGAAAGGUUCUUUAUUCAUUAGCUAUAAUAAAAAGUUGAGAAUGGACAGUUCAUAGAGACUACAUCAAAGAAGCCUGUUAAGGAAGAAAAGAUCCAGAAACUGCAGAGGAAAAAGGUGGCCUAGCUGUAUGUGUUCCCAAAUCUGGAGGUCAUUGAAUGAUGGAUAUACAGCGAAAAAAUGUUAAGACUACACAGUUGUCAUCAAUACACUAUGCUUGAAGCUGUUGAGAUGUUAUAAUAUUGUUUGUGUUUCUGACUUAUUCCAGGUUAACUGCUGGUUCCAUGUUAAUUACACUGCCCAGUUGCUUGGAGUCUUGCAACUAAGAUCUUAAGGAAAGCCACAAACUUGGAUCUUUAUCAAGCCUUUUGCUCUUUGAAUCCAAGCAUAAGCUCACUGAGGUUAAGCGUUGAUAACUAAAAGAAGUUUGAGCUUGCAGAAGACUCAAAGUCUUUGUUAUGUGUUUACUUAUACAUUGUAAAAAUAUAUAUUUUUGAAUUUAAAUAUAGCUUGAAAAUUA
rnacentral:lncRNA from 1 species